rnacentral:rRNA from 1 species
CGCUGGCGGCAGGCUUAACACAUGCAAGUCGAGCGGUAGCACAAGGGAGCUUGCUCCCUGGGUGACGAGCGGCGGACGGGUGAGUAAUGUCUGGGAAACUGCCUGAUGGAGGGGGAUAACUACUGGAAACGGUAGCUAAUACCGCAUAACGUCGCAAGACCAAAGAGGGGGACCUUCGGGCCUCUUGCCAUCAGACGUGCCCAGAUGGGAUUAGCUAGUAGGUGGGGUAAUGGCUCACCUAGGCGACGAUCCCUAGCUGGUCUGAGAGGAUGACCAGCCACACUGGAACUGAGACACGGUCCAGACUCCUACGGGAGGCAGCAGUGGGGAAUAUUGCACAAUGGGCGCAAGCCUGAUGCAGCCAUGCCGCGUGUGUGAAGAAGGCCUUCGGGUUGUAAAGCACUUUCAGCGAGGAGGAAGGUGGUGAACUUAAUACGUUCAUCAAUUGACGUUACUCGCAGAAGAAGCACCGGCUAACUCCGUGCCAGCAGCCGCGGUAAUACGGAGGGUGCAAGCGUUAAUCGGAAUUACUGGGCGUAAAGCGCACGCAGGCGGUUUGUUAAGUCAGAUGUGAAAUCCCCGGGCUCACCUGGGGAACUGCAUUUGAAACUGGC